AUUGAACGCUGGCGGCAUGCCUUACACAUGCAAGUCGAACGGUAACGGGCCUUCGGGUGCCGACGAGUGGCGAACGGGUGAGUAAUGCAUCGGAACGUGCCUUUCAGUGGGGGAUAACGUAGCGAAAGUUACGCUAAUACCGCAUAUUCUGUGAGCAGGAAAGCAGGGGAUCGCAAGACCUUGUGCUGAUUGAGCGGCCGAUGUCAGAUUAGCUAGUUGGUGGGGUAAAGGCUCACCAAGGCGACGAUCUGUAGCGGGUCUGAGAGGAUGACCCGCCACACUGGAAUUGAGACACGGUCCAGACUCCUACGGGAGGCAGCAGUGGGGAAUUUUGGACAAGGGGGGCAACCCUGAUCCAGCCAUGCCGCGUGAGUGAAGAAGGCCUUCGGGUUGUAAAGCUCUUUCGGUCGGGAAGAAAUCGCAUGGGUUAAUACCCUGUGCGGAUGACGGUACCGGCAUAAGAAGCACCGGCUAACUACGUGCCAGCCGCCGCGGUAAUAC
rnacentral:rRNA from 1 species